UUGAAACCUGCGGGAGGGGAGAGUGAGUUGGAGGUCGCUGUCCCUUCUGGGAAUCGGUCGAGCGCCGCAGGAGCGGGACGUUAGGUCAGCGGAGACCUCGGCCUGGGAUUAGGCCGGGAGUGGCCACAGCUUCGUUCAUUGGGCAGCUACCCGGGGCCGGCCACGCUCCGUGAGCCACUGUGACGAAGCCCCUUCUUGUCUCCCCAGAGCUCAGCCCGGGCCGCUGCACCUCCCUCCAAAUGUGGAUAAAGUUCCCACCCUUUGGCUCAGCCUUUUAAGGAGCCUUUGUGACAGCAGAGGUGGUUUGCUCUGACACUAACCAAACUUCACUUUCUGGACGCCCACUUACCCAGGCCCAGUCUAUGGCCAUGGAAGGAAUCUUAGCAACGUGUUUACAAGAUAAUGUUUUUAUAAAAUUAGCAAAACUAAGAUAUUUUAACCCACAUCUGUUAAGACAGCUGCCUCUUUCCACUGGGACUUUCCUAUCUGGGAGCACUGAAGUAGCUAGGGCAGCUUGGGGCAUUUUUAAGUAGGGUCUUCCCGUGAGUAGGGCUUGAGUGUGUCUACUUGGCCUGCCUUUGGGUUCUGGGUUGUGCAGAGUUCAGAGGAGUUAUCUUUACUGAGAGGCCCAGUAAAGAUAAAAGGGAAAAAGUUGUGUUUCUGAAGUGUCUCCAAAUCUCCAAUGGUGGCAGCCCUCAUCCACCCCUGCCAGCGAUGAAAGAAGGCCAGGAUCUGGUGAGAGAGAACCAUCAGAAGAACUGCAGCCAUGGGUCCUCCCUCUGUGUCAGGGUACUGUUUUAGGCACUGAGGACAUAGCAGAGAACGGAACAGGCUCAAGGAGAAGAGGAAAGUUCAGAAACAUAAAGGGAAAUAAAGAAAUAUUCAGAAGCAUCUGAAUUUUUGACCCUCUGAUCAACACCACCAGAAAAGGAAAAAGAGAAGUACUAUUACAUUUGCUACUGGUACUACAAAACUGUGCCCUUACCUAACUUCAUUUCAGCAAGCCUUUACUGUGAACUAUUAAUGUGCCAGGCACCAUGUGCAGAGGCACUGGCCCAAAGAUGAAGAAGAUGAGGUUUCUGUCCUUGGGAAGCGCAGUGUGGGAGACAGACGGGUAGGCGGAUAAUUAUAUUACAGAUGAUUCGUGCUAUGAUUGAGGUGUGAACAAAAUUCUGUAGGAGCAGAGAAGAGUGAAUAAUUCUGCCUGGGGGUGUCAGAUAACGUUUAAUGGAGGAGAAGACAUCUUACCUGGGUCUAAGGGAGGCUAGGAGAUGGCCAGGUGGAGAUGGAGAGAAAAGACAUCUAGGGAGGAGUCAUUUGUGGAUAGAAUGAUGAAGUUACAGUGCUAAGUUCUGAAAUAUGGACUGCACACGGACAGCCUGGAUCCCUCAGACAAUGGUGGGGUGGGGUAGUCCACAGGGUUAAUGAUUUAUUGAAAAGGAGGAUUGAGGCUUGUGUUGCUACCAGUUAAAAUAACUGAGUUGAUAAGCAACCCACUGACUGUUUCUCUGUGCAGAAACCGUUCAGGCGUCCACCAUAGUUUUCCCACUCUAUGUUUAAGCUAAAGUAUCAAAAAGACUUAAAGCACUGCUGUACAUAUUUGGGGAGGGCAGUGUAAGUUGGUACAGCCCACAUGAAAAGCAGAUUGUCAGUAUCUAUAAAAUUACAAAUGCUGCAUAUAUCUUGUGACCAAGCAGUUUCACUUCUAGGAAUUUAUCUUCAGAUGCACUCACUGGCACAUGAAAUAACUUAUGCACGAGUAUCCAUCGCAUCUUGUUUGUUAUAGCAAAAGACUGAAUACAAAUUAAAUGUUCAUCAGGAGGGGACUGGUUAAAUAAAUUAUGGUAUCUCUUUAAAAUGGGAUACUAUUCAGUUUAAAAAGAAAACAAAGAAUAAGGUAGCUCUUUAUAAUCCUGUUUGGAAUGAUACAUUGUCAAAUUAAAAAAAGCAAGGGGCAGACCAUUUAUAUAAAAUGGGAAUGGAGAGAAGUCAGGUCUUCCAUGGAGUGUUCCAGCGGUUGAAUUAAAGAACCCUGGGCUGCCCUGCCUCCAGACUCCUUGUGAUAGGUGACAAGAAAGGUCAGCUGAGAAGGAGUCUUCUGUGACUUGUAGCCAAAAGCAUACAGACACAAACCUGAGGUCUGCAGAGGUCUUUGUGUUUGGACCAGGAAUAAUGCAGAAGAGGGGGUUAAAUCUUUGACUUGCAGAAAUUCUCCAGUUGACUCCAUUUUAACUCCAGUGGGCAUCCCCAAGUGCUUCUUCCCUCUGGGUAUCCUGAGCUCUGUAUCUCAGAGCAGCCAGUCAUUCACGUGAUGCAGCUGUGGGGAUUUCUGUGCAGAGAUGCAAUCUGGCAGAAUUCAACUUGCCUUCUUUUAAAAUACAACCUCAUCAAAGCAAGAGCGCUAAAAGCCUGAUAGAAUCUAUUUGUAGUCAGGGGCACGAGGGCAAUACACCGGAUGCUAGAAUCAAACCUGGCCAUUCUCCGCCCACAGGAGGACCCAGAUAAUCCUGACCUGCCAUAGUGACUAUAGAGCUGAGAAGUCUCUGGAUCAAGCUUCAUGUGGUCUGAGAACUUGUCCACACGGCUGACACUGUCCUGUCAGUAUCUUCCAGACAGUUUUGAGGACUCACUGUCACUCACUUAUCUUUUCUUUCAAGAAAGUUAUUUGUCCCUGGCACUCUGCUAGGUACUGGAGAUACAACAGUGAGCAAAACUGGAGUGGCCUUGCCUGUAUUGACUUACAGUCUAAAGGAGGAGAUGGGAAUUAGUUGAAUAAUUAUCAAAUAGGUGUACAAUUACAACUGAGCUAAGUAUUGUAAAGGAAGCGUUCAUGGUGGAUAAGAGUGGUUAAGAAAGAUACCUAUAUUAGAAUGGGAUCCGAGAAGGCCUACCUGAGGAAAUGACACUUGAGCUGACAUCUGAAGAAUGAGUGAGAGUUAAUUAGGUGAUGUCGGAGAAAAGCAUUCCAGCAGAAGGAAUAGUUCCUGCAAAGGCUCUGGGGUUGGGCGUAGCAUAGAACACUCGAGGAAUUGGAAGAAGGCCAGUGUGGUUGGAGGGCAGAGAGUGAGGGGGUGUGCUGGGAGGCGAGGCUGAAGCCUGGAAAGGCAAAACCAAGAGACAUGUAAAGUAUUUUUGUAAGAGCGAUGGAAAGCCAUUUGUAGUACAGAGUGUUGGUUGUUCCCGAAUAUCCGUUUUCCCCUCUGUUCCUUUAGUAUUCGAGUCCCAGAGUUUUGGUUACCCAGUUAAAGACUAUUUUCCAGACUCAUUUGCAUACAGAUUUGCCCAUGUGACCAAGUUCUGACCAGUGGGUUGUGAGCAGAAGGACAGGCUUCCAUUUGCUCCUAUUUUCUUCUCACUGGCUGGUGUACAGACAUGAUGGUCCGGGCUGGAGGAGUCAUCCUAGACCAUGAGGUGGAAGCCAUAUGCCGAGGAUGGCAAAGCAACAAGAUAGAGGGAAACUGCCUCCGCAUCACCAUGGAGUAGCCCUAGCAGCCCCAGACUGUUAAACUCAGACUAUAUAUGACAAGGUAAUAAAUUUCUAACCUGUGUAAACUACAUUUUUUGGUCUUUAUCAUAGAAGUUACGCCUAUAUUCUUAGUGACUGUUACAGACUGAAUGUUUGUGCCCCCUCAAAGUUCAUAUCGUGAAAUCCUAACCCCCAGUGGUAUUAGGAGGUGGGACCUUUGGGAGGUGAUUAGGUCAUGAGGGUGGAGCUCUCAUGAAUGGGAUUAGUGUCUUUAUAAAAGAGGCUCCAGAGACUCUCUUGCCCCUUCUACCAUGUGAGGACACAGUGAGAAGACGGUCAUCUGUGAUCUAGGAAGGGGCCUUGCAGCAGACAUCGAAUCUGCCAGCACCUUGAUUUUGGACUUCCCAGCCUCCAGAACUGUGAGAAAUAAAUGUUUGUUA